AGUCGGCAUUCCGAAAUCGGACUGUUUCGUUCAGUGAUUCAAUCAGGGCCCGUCUAUUCCCAAUUAAACUUGCGUUGAUUGUAAAAAUAAAAUAAAAUGAAACCGAAUGCGAAUUUUUUCCGGAUUGUUCUCGUCACGUUGACUCUCGUUUACACCACGGCGAUUACGGAUGCUGCUUACGAAUAUUACGAUGGUUCCACUACGGCCGAGAUAACGACCAAAAUGAAUUGGAUGGAGGCCGAAAUCCAAAAAGCUAUGGCCUCCGGCUGUUCCAUCCAGAUGAACAGUUUGUCCACUUACAUCCAGACGCUCUGGUGGCCGCACAUCCAGUACCUGAUGGCGAGAAUUCCGCCCCAAGAGCAACUACAAGUCCAGCAGCAAUACGCUCGUCUCCAGUACAUGCUCGGGAUGAGGAAAUGUCCGUCGACUCAAGAAACUUUCUACCAAGGAGAGUGCCAUGAAAUCGGAGUCCCUGGUAAUCCCUGUCCAAGAAAUCAGCAACUCUACGACAGACCGGACAACAAUGGCUACUGCUACUGCCAACGGGGUCUGAGCGAUUUCGUUUACAUGGACGGCCAAUGUUACCAGCAAAACGAGCAGGGACCUUGUGACGACGACCAGUGGCUAGUGGUGAGGGAAGAUCGAACUCCCGCCUGCCAACAAGUACCUAGAGGAUGCCCAGCUGACGGCCAACACGUCUACUGGAGUUGCGGAGUUAAUACCGAAUGCCAGCGUCAAACACGGAGGAAUUCGAUGGGCAUGUGCAGCCGACUGGGCAGCCAACAACCUUCUUGCGGCGUCGGAGCCAAACUCUAUCGUACUGGAACCAAUUAUUACUGCGGAAGACCGAGAGUGACGGUCGACGACUGGGAGGAGCCCAACGUGAUUUUACCACCGCCCAGUUCAACGUGCAGCAACACAAGGGUAUAUUAUGUUGGAAAUGCUAGAAACCGACAGUGUCCUAUGGGCUAUAAUCGAGACUUGACUGGAAGGUGUAGGAAAAUUAUUGCAGCUCGAUAUUGAUUGGCAAAACAUUUUUAAUAUUUAGUCAAAUUGGUAGCAAAUUUGUCACAAAAGUCACUGAAAAAUGUCAAUCACACAUUCUGGCCAUUGUGGAUAAUAUCAGUAAAAUAAACUCUUGUUACCCGUAGGAAAGGAAAGAUUGAAAAAAAGAGGAGACCAGACUUUCCUUUCCUCCCUAUUCUUCCCUCGGGCACGAUUAACCCGAAAAGCCUAAAUUCAUGUACUGUGGGGCGAGCCAAAUAAAAAUCUUCCUAACUCCGCAUUUCAUUGGGCACGCAAUGCAUUGUCCAUUGGGGUCCGCUAGAUGACUCUUUCAUCAUUGAGUAAGUAAGUCCAAAAAUCGUCUGCUACGUGUAAUCGAAAGUUAACUUUCUGCCAAGUUGAAAACAAUAAGUCAUGUUCCGAACUUCCGAUGAAAAAUAGUUUUAGUUUCAUUUCUAGAUAUAGUCGUCACUUCCUGUGAGAUUGGAGCAUCCCGGAGAAUCGGGACACCAACGGACAUCAUGAGCGAUCAUGAGAAUGAACUUUUGAAGACGAAUCAGCUGAUGGAGUUCCUUCCAAACAUUAAUAA
rnacentral:misc_RNA from 1 species